UCGCUAGUAAUCGCGGAUCAGCAUGCCGCGGUGAAUACGUUCCCGGGUCUUGUACACACCGCCCGUCACACCACGAGAGUUGGUAACACCCGAAGUCGGUGAGGUAACCGUAAGGAGCCAGCCGCCGAAGGUGGGAUCAAUGAUUGGGGUGAAGUCGUAACAAGGUAGCCGUAUCGGAAGGUGCGGCUGGA
rnacentral:rRNA from 1 species